rnacentral:rRNA from 1 species
AGAGUUUGAUCCUGGCUCAGGACGAACGCUGGCGGCGUGCCUAACACAUGCAAGUCGAGCGGGAGACAGGUGAGUAGCUUGCUAUGAGCUGUUUUAGCGGCGGACGGGUGAGUAACGCGUGAGCAACCUUUCCCAGGACAGGGGAAUAACACACCGAAAGGUGUACUAAUACCCGCAUAAGACCACGGGAUCACAUGGUUCUGGGGUAAAAGAUUUAUCGGUUUGGGGUGGGCGUCGCGUCCGAUUAGGUAGUUGGUGAGGUAACGG